rnacentral:lncRNA from 1 species
CCCCAGCUGCUUGGGAGACUGAGGCAGGAGAAUUGCUUAAACCGAGAAAGUGGAGGUUGCAGUGAGCUGAGAUCACGCCACUGCACUCCAGGCUGGGCAACAAGAGCGAAACUCUGUCAAAAAAAAAACAACACACAUAUAAUCCCAGCAUUCUCAGAAACUCUCCAUGGACCUCCAAGCAUGCUGGACUCACAGCUGGAGUCUAGGCAGGACACACAGCUGGAAGGAAGGCUGGCCAGCCAGGAUUUCCGCAGAGAGUCGCAUAUUACAGUUCCAAGGAGUGUGAAAUCAUCGUGCAGUUUGGUAAAAUUUAAAUAACUUCUCACCACCAGAUUGUGCAACAGGCGAAGUGAAAAGCUGCAGAACAGAUGUCAUCUUCCAGCCCAGGACUUCGGAUCCUAUGUGUGACCAUCAGAAGGAGCAGAAGAAAAGAAACAAAUGGACAAGCUUUUGUUCUGGGUCUGUUUUCAUUUAUUUUCCACAGGCAUCCCAGGUCACAUUGUCAAUCAUGAAACUAAUUUGAUUGCGAAUAAAACACAAGUUAAUUCACUCCAUGAACAAUUUCUUUAAUUUCUGCUUUUAAAACAGCAUUCUGGCUGGGCGCGGUGGCUCACACCUGUAAUCCCAGCACUUUGGGAGGCUGAGGUGGGCAGAUCAUGAGGUCAAGAGAUUGAGACCAGCAUAGCCAACAUGGUGAAACCCCAUCUCUACUAAAAAUACAAAAAAAUUAGCUGGGCAUGGUGGCACAUGCCUGUAGUCCCAGCUGCUUGGGAGGCUAAGGCAGGAGAAUUGCUUUAACCUGGGAGGCGGAGGUUUCAGUGAGCCAAGAUUGUGCCACUGCACUCCAGCCUGGUGACAGAGAGAGACUCUGCCUCAAAAAUAAAUAAAUAAAUAAAUAAAACAGCAUUCUAAAUUUAAUUUAAUUAGGAAUUGCCUAAAGGAUAGGCGAAGGGUCCCAACCAUUUUUGGCAUUUGGUGGCCUCUCAGCAUUCGGCAAAUUCC